CCGUAUACCUCAGGUAGUAACAGAGGGUUCGAUCAUGGCCUUGAUUGAACGCUGGCGGGAUGCUUUACACAUGCAAGUCGAACGGCAGCACGGACUUCGGUCUGGUGGCGAGUGGCGAACGGGUGAGUAAUGUAUCGGAACGCCUAGUAGCGGGGGAGAAUUACAGCGAAAGUAGCUAAUACCGCAUACGCCCUUCGGGGGAAAGCGGGGGACCUUCGGGCCUCGCACUAUUAGAGCGGCCGAUAUCGGAUUAGCUGUACAGGGUAACGGCUCUCACCACAGUACGAGAUCCGUAGCUGGUUUGAGAGGACGACCAGCCACACUGGGACUGAGACACGGCCCAGACUCAUUGGAGGCAGCAGUGGGGAAUUUUGGACAAUGGGGGAAACCCCAUCCAGCUAGUCCUGCGUGUGCGAUGAAGGCUCUCGGGUUGGGAAAGCACUUUUGGCAGGAAAGAACGGCACGGGAUAAUACCCUGUGCAACUGACGGUACUCGCAGAAUAAGCACCGGCUAACUCCACGCCAGCAGCCGCGGUAAUACGUAGGGGCAAGCGUUAAUCUGAAUUACUACAGGAAGCGUGCGCAGGCGGUUCGAAAGAAAGAUGUGAAAUCCCAGAGCUUAACUUUGGAACUGCAUUUUAACUAUCCUCCCGAGCUAGAGGUAUUAGAGGGAGGUGGAAUUCGCGUGUAGUAGUGAAAUGCGUAGAUAUGCGGAGGAACACCGAUGGCGAAGGCAGCUCCGGGAUAACACUGACGCUCAUGCACGAAAGGAGCAAACAGGAUUAGGAUACCCUGGUAGUCCACGCCCUAAACGAUGUCAACUAGCUGUUGGGGCCUUCGGGCCUUGGUAGCAGCUAACGCGUGAAGUUGGACCGCUUUGGGGAGUACGGUCGCAAGAUUAAAACUCAAAUAUCGAUUAACUGCACAAGCGGUGGAUGAUGUGAUUAAUUCGAUGCAACGCGAAAAACCUUACCUACCCUUGACAUGUCUGGAAUCCGAAGAGAUUUGGGAGGUUAAAGAGAACCUGGAACACAGGUGCUGCAUGGCUGUCGUCAGCUCGUGUCGAGAUGUUGGGUUAAGCCCCAAACGAGCGCAACCCUUGUCAUUAGUUGCUACGAAAGGCACCCAAUGAGACUGCCGGUGACAAACCGGAGUGAAGGUGGGGACGACGUCAAGUCCUCAUGGCUCUUAUGGGUAGGGCUUCACACGUCAUACAAUGGUCGGGACAGAGGGUCGCUAACCCGCGAGGGGGAGCCAACCCAGAAACCCGAUCGUAGUCCGGAUCGCAGUCUGCAACUCGACUGCGUGAAGUCGGAAUCGCUAGUAAUCGCGGAUCAGCAUGUCGCGGUGAAUACGUUCCCGGUCUUGAAGACAACGGCCCGCCUUACACCAUGGGAGUGGGUUUUACCAGAAGUAGUUAGCCUAACCGUAAGGAGGGCGAUUACCACGGUAGGAUUCAUGACUGGGGUGAAGUCGUAACAAGGUAG
rnacentral:rRNA from 1 species